ensembl:misc_RNA Y_RNA Y RNA
GGGUGGUCCAAUGGCAGUGGGUUAUCAGAACUUAUUAACAUUAGUAUCACUAAAAUUGAUAUGCAACCCCCACUGCUAAAAUUGACAGGCUUAAU